ensembl:misc_RNA Metazoa_SRP Metazoan signal recognition particle RNA
GCCAGGCACAGUGGCCCAUGUCUGUGUUCUCAGCUACCCCAGAGGUUGAGGCAGAAGGAUCAUGUGAGUCCAGUUCUGGGCUGUAGUACACUGUGUGCGUUGGGUGCCUGUGCUAAGUUCAACAUCAACAUGGUGACUUCCUGGGAGCCGGGAACGGUCAGAUUGCCUAAAGAGUGGUAAACCAACCCAGGACAGAAAUUGAGCCGGUCAAAAUUCGUGCUGAUCAGCAGUUGAAUAGUGCCUAUGGAUAGCCACUGCACUCAAGCCUAGACUACAUAGCAAGACCACGUCUCUA